UUAGUGGCGAACGGGUGAGUAACACGUGAGCAACCUGCCCCUGACUCUGGGAUAAGCGCUGGAAACGGCGUCUAAUACUGGAUAUGUCCCAUCACCGCAUGGUGUGUGGGUGGAAAGAUUUUUCGGUUGGGGAUGGGCUCGCGGCCUAUCAGCUUGUUGGUGAGGUAAUGGCUCACCAAGGCGUCGACGGGUAGCCGGCCUGAGAGGGUGACCGGCCACACUGGGACUGAGACACGGCCCAGACUCCUACGGGAGGCAGCAGUGGGGAAUAUUGCACAAUGGGCGGAAGCCUGAUGCAGCAACGCCGCGUGAGGGAUGACGGCCUUCGGGUUGUAAACCUCUUUUAGCAGGGAAGAAGCGAGAGUGACGGUACCUGCAGAAAAAGCACCGGCUAACUACGUGCCAGCAGCCGCGGUAAUACGUAGGGUGCAAGCGUUAUCCGGAAUUAUUGGGCGUAAAGAGCUCGUAGGCGGUCUGUCGCGUCUGCUGUGAAAUUCCGAGGCUCAACCUCGGGCUUGCAGUGGGUACGGGCAGACUAGAGUGCGGUAGGGGAGAUUGGAAUUCCUGGUGUAGCGGUGGAAUGCGCAGAUAUCAGGAGGAACACCGAUGGCGAAGGCAGAUCUCUGGGCCGUAACUGACGCUGAGGAGCGAAAGGGUGGGGAGCAAACAGGCUUAGAUACCCUGGUAGUCCACCCCGUAAACGUUGGGAACUAGUUGUGGGGUCCUUUCCACGGAUUCCGUGACGCAGCUAACGCAUUAAGUUCCCCGCCUGGGGAGUACGGCCGCAAGGCUAAAACUCAAAGGAAUUGACGGGGACCCGCACAAGCGGCGGAGCAUGCGGAUUAAUUCGAUGCAACGCGAAGAACCUUACCAAGGCUUGACAUACACGAGAACGGGCCAGAAAUGGUCAACUCUUUGGACACUCGUGAACAGGUGGUGCAUGGUUGUCGUCAGCUCGUGUCGUGAGAUGUUGGGUUAAGUCCCGCAACGAGCGCAACCCUCGUUCUAUGUUGCCAGCACGUAAUGGUGGGAACUCAUGGGAUACUGCCGGGGUCAACUCGGAGGAAGGUGGGGAUGACGUCAAAUCAUCAUGCCCCUUAUGUCUUGGGCUUCACGCAUGCUACAAUGGCCGGUACAAUGGGCUGCAAUACCGUGAGGUGGAGCGAAUCCCAAAAAGCCGGUCCCAGUUCGGAUUGAGGUCUGCAACUCGACCUCAUGAAGUCGGAGUCGCUAGUAAUCGCAGAUCAGCAACGCUGCGGUGAAUACGUUCCCGGGUCUUGUACACACCGCCCGUCAAGUCAUGAAAGUCGGUAACA
rnacentral:rRNA from 1 species